rnacentral:rRNA from 1 species
GAUGAACGCUGGCGGCGCGCCUAACACAUGCAAGUCGAGCGAUGAAGGGUGCUUCGGCACCAUAUGAAGCGGCGAACGGGUGAGUAACGCGUGGGCAACCUGCCCCAGACUCGGGAAUAGCCGCGGGAAACCGCGGGUAACGCCCGGCGCCCCGGAGGGAGGGCAUCCCCCCUCCGGGAAAGGCGACGGUCUGGGAUGGGCCCGCGUCCCAUCAGCUAGACGGCGGGGUGACGGCCCACCGUGGCGACGACGGGUAGCCGGGGUGAGAGCCUGGACGGCCACAUUGGGACUGAGACACGGCCCAG